rnacentral:rRNA from 1 species
CCUACGGGAGGCAGCAGUCGGGAAUAUUGCGCAAUGGAGGAAACUCUGACGCAGUGACGCCGCGUAUAGGAAGAAGGUUUUCGGAUUGUAAACUAUUGUCGUGAGGGAAGAAAUUGACAGUACCUCAGGAGGAAGCUCCGGCUAACUAUGUGCCAGCAGCCGCGGUAAUACAUAGGGAGCAAGCGUUAUCCGGAUUUAUUGGGUGUAAAGGGUGCGUAGACGGGAAAUUAAGUUAGUUGUGAAAUCCCUCGGCUUAACUGAGGAACUGCAACUAAAACUGAUUUUCUUGAGUACUGGAGAGGAAA